rnacentral:rRNA from 1 species
GACGUAGGGCGCGAGCGUUGUCCGGAAUCACUGGGCGUAAAGGGCGCGUAGGCGGCUCAUGAAGGCUGUGGUGAAAGUCCGGGGCUCAACCUCGGAUCGGCCGUGGCGACUCGUGGGCUGGAGCACUGUAGAGGCGGGUGGAAUUCCGGGUGUAGCGGUGGAAUGCGUAGAGAUCCGGAAGAACACCAGUGGCGAAGGCGGCCCGCUGGGCAGUGGCUGACGCUGAGGCGCGACAGCGUGGGGAGCAAACAGG